rnacentral:piRNA from 1 species
AAGAGGGCAUUAUUGAUUCAUCUGA